rnacentral:rRNA from 1 species
GACGAACGCUGGCGGCGUGCUUAACACAUGCAAGUCGAACGGAAAGGCCCUGCUUUUGUGGGGUGCUCGAGUGGCGAACGGGUGAGUAACACGUGAGUAACCUGCCCUUGACUUUGGGAUAACUUCAGGAAACUGGGGCUAAUACCGGAUAGGAGCUCCUGCUGCAUGGUGGGGGUUGGAAAGUUUCGGCGGUUGGGGAUGGACUCGCGGCUUAUCAGCUUGUUGGUGGGGUAGUGGCUUACCAAGGCUUUGACGGGUAGCCGGCCUGAGAGGGUGACCGGCCACAUUGGGACUGAGAUACGGCCCAGACUCCUACGGGAGGCAGCAGUGGGGAAUAUUGAACAAUGGGCGGAAGCAUGAUGCAGCAACGCCGCGUGCGGGAUGAAGGCCUUCGGGUUGUAAACCGCUUUCGCCUGUGACGAAGCGUGAGUGACGGUAAUGGGUAAAGAAGCACCGGCUAACUACGUG